GACCUGAUAGCUCAGUUGGCAGAGCAUCUCCCUUUUAAGGAGAGGGUCCUGGGUUCGAGCCCCAGUCAGGUCA
rnacentral:tRNA from 1 species